UCUCUUUGCCGCCGCCGUGCCGUCUGCUCCCUUCGCGUGCGCAUGCGCUAGCAGACAGCGGUUUGUUUGUUUGAGGAUGUGGUUUGUGGUAUUGUCCGGUGAAGCAACUUUGUCAAAUAUUCCGUUCAAGUUCCUCGCUGGAUGUCCCGCUCGUCCGUCGAUGUUCAACAGGUGCACAAGUGCCAGUCCACUUUUUCUCAGCUGCACCCUCUCAGUUCAGGCAGCAGCAGUACCAGGUGUAUGUACAUAACUUCCAAGUGAAUUAAGACGCACGAGUGCAAUUCUGAAGCUGAUUUUCAGGCAUGGAGAGAAGAAAUGCAGGAUGCAGCCAAGAGUCAUUUUACUAAAGAGAGGACACAUCAAAGGAAAAGGUCCAUCAAAUCACAAAGUUCCAUCAGGCGUGGGGACACCUGCCUUGCUGAUAUGUCUGCAAUGUUCCAAACUGGCAAGGUCUUGUUUGUCUUCCAAGCUUCCUAUUAUGCACAUGAUUUUGGGCUGUCCCACACCCCACUGACAAAAACAGAGGAAGAUGCAAUAGAGGCGGCCCGUGCAGGCACUUGUAAAACACUAUGUUGUACUGGAAUGUCCUUUUUUUACCUUCAAGAAACUAUUUGUUUAUGUUAGGGAAACUACGUGACGGCAUUGCACUCAGCGUACUAUGCAGCUCAGUAUUCGGGGUGUGCUGGAUGGCACGUUUCAAAGGAUCCAAUUCACCUCACUACAAGGCAGUACUUGUACACCACCAUGAGGGAGAAGUUACCCGUAAAAAAAAACUUGUUACAAAUUAAGUUACCGUGUGCAAAAUGUAACUAAGUUAAUAACGAAGUUCUUCAGCAUGAAAUGUAACUCGCAGUUACUGAGUUACUUAAAAAAAAGAACGAGUUACUUCCAAGUUACUUCGGACACAAAAUAGCAUUAUGCAGGUGCAGCGCGCGUGAGCAGUUGAGUUAGACCUUGAGUUGUCUGCGGAGGAGUGCAACACGCUUAGAUCGUUUUCGUUUAUGUCCAACAAUAGACCUCUCCAUGUUUGUAAACAAAUGACGUCAUAGUGACAAUGAAAAAAUGACUAGGACGUCAUAGUGUUUGACAGUGCCAAAAUUUGGUAGAAUUGAACUAAGCUCGAAGCUAGAAGUGAACAAGGUCACGCCCGAAAGCCACGGUCUUGAGGGGAUUACGACAUGGUCCCUUAUAGGGACUUUUCUUUCAAUGGGAGACAGCGAACAAGUGCCCGUUCGUGGAACCCAGCCCUCCUUCCGAUUUGUUUCGGUUUCAGUCUGUCUACCAUUGUCAUGAUGACGUUUCUCUGGUAGAGGUCUAUUCGAACGCUUUGCAUCUUACCCCCUGUGGGCGCACAAUGGUUCAGCUUCGUUUCAAUGGCAGCGGUUCUUACUUCCUGAAUAAAAUACUGUCAUUGAUUGAAUAUCACGUUUUAUGGCAAAAAAUGCCAUGAAGGAACCGGAGAGAAAGCAAGAAAAUAUGUGGACGUGAGUGAAAAGCGAGUUAAAAGUAACUUGGAACUUAAGUUAAUUUGGCAAAGUUACCUCUAAAAAGGAACGAGUUCCUCUGAAAGUUACUAAGGCGCAAAAGUACCGAGUUAAGUUACAAGUUACCAAAAAAAGGACCUUAGUUACAGUAAUGAGUUACCUCGAACUCUGAUAAUAUAUGUUACUGUGAGAGGAAACAUGACGACAAUCAAAGCAGUGUUGCCCUGUUGGUCAGUUCUAUCAGAGCCCAAACAAACAGUUCACUGCUUUCCCUCACACACAAAGGCAAGAAGGAUGAUCCUACUGUCUUUCAACGAGGAAAUACUGACUUGUUGCAAGAUGAGGAUUUAUUGCUAGUUCUUAUGACAGGCAUGGCAAAAACAGCUGUUAAGGCACUUGGGCACCAACAAAAGUGUGAUGAAUAUAGGAGGAGCACGAAAGCUAGCUGGUGUUGACUUGAUGUUAAUGCCGAAGUGUACACUUUCUUUUUACCCUGUCUCUCUUGCACUUUGUGUAUUAAAUCUUCAUUGCUGGUUCGUGUGUCUAUGUGUUCGUCUCGUCCUGUGUUUUCCCUCAAACUCAUGGCAAUGUUAACAUCAAAAGAAAAGUGUGCAUAGAUUCUACACAUAGCACCACAGAUGGGUCAUUCUAUGUGAUAGUCAUGUACUGCCACUUCAUACAUUUUGGGUAAUGGUUCAGGUGAAACACUUUACAGCAAUGCAUGGUCUCCUGCAUUGACUUUUCAACUGAAGACAAUAUGCCCCAUUUUGAGCUUGGUCUAGGUUAUAUUACAGCAGGUAAAUACAUUUAAGUGUACAUACAUACACAUAACAUAAUUGGCAAUUUGUAUAUCCUAUAAAGUGCUCUGACCUGAGAAAUCUUGUAGAAAAAAUUGUGUUAAUAUUCUGCCAAUAAGAACUGGGAUAAACUUUUCACUCACUUUCCACUAGGCAGUUUGUUUUAUUCUGUGUGUUUAUAUCUCUCCAGUACUGAGUACUCUCUUGCAAUAUAACGAGACAACUGCCCCCGACUGAUGGAUUGUUUUCUUCAGCUGCAGCAGAUGCUUUUUACCAUGAAAAUACUAAUAUCAGUUGGCAUUGCACGCAUAAAGCCUUGGUGAGCUCAAAGCCGCUGUGUGUAUUCUUGUGAAUGAUUUAUCUAAGUAAAUGUACACCCUUCCAACAACCAUCAGCCAACUCUUCAUGACUAUAUAUAAUGCAUAAUUAUUUAAUUAGAUUAAAGGAAAAAUAUACUGUCAUCACACCAGCUCAAUUGCAGUCUUUCGUUAUCAUCAAAAAUAUGGUGGCCGGGGUACACGACUCUCAUCAACAUUAUGAUAAUGUAAUUCGCAUACAAUGCUCAGUCAUUUUAAAAUUUUUCAUGCACAUCAGUAUGCCUUGUAUAUUCAAGUUGGCUUCUAUCUUGUCUCAUGCUAGUGUUGGCUAUCCGUGCGGUAGCCAGAAAAUAUUGUGUGUGUGGGGGGGGGUCUAUGGGGACCUCCCAGAUGCACUACCAAAGGUACGAUCUUGGGGGGUUUGAACCCCCCUGGCCAUGCCCCUGUUGGCUAUGCUAUGCUAAACCUGCUGUGACACUACUGAACAAAAAUGCCAAACAACUCCGCUUUGUCUCAACAAAGAUGCAAGGAGUUAAAACGGGUGCAGCUAUGUGAAAGCCAACCACUGCAGAAAUGCUAAUAAGAACAACAGUUCUGGAACCUUAUGUUCGAACAGCUACUGGGAAUUCAGAAGAUCAUACUAUAUGCAUGAAAAUAACUAGCA